AUGGAAAUGGAACAAGAAAAAAUGCCUGUGAACAAGGAGCUGUGUCCAGAUUCGGCCACGUACUGCUGUUCUGUGUGCCAUGGCGAGGAGGCCUGGAGCUACGGCCACCCCAUCCGGGGCAGGGCCAAGUUAUGCAGUGUGCCUCUCCCAAGCCAGGGAGCACCAAUGAGUUCAGGAGGACAUGCUCUCUGCAUGGGCCUUGCCCAGUGACCACCUUUGGACCAAAGGCCUGCGUACUGUAGAACCCUCAGACCAUCAUGCACAUUCAGGACCCUGCAAGCCAGCAGCUGGCAUGGAGCAAAUCUCCAAAGAGUGUUCUGGUGGUCAAGAAGGUUCGCGAUGCCAGCCUGCUGCAGCUGUUCAAGGAGCUCUGCACAUACCUCAUGGAGGAGAGCAACAUGGUUGUGUAUGUGGAAAAGAAGGUGCUGGAAGACCCUGCCAUUGUGAGUGAUGAAAACUUUGGGGCAGUGAAGAAGAAAUUCUGCACUUUCCGAGAAGAUUAUGAUGACAUUUCCAAUCAGAUAGAUCUCAUCAUCUGGCUGGGAGGGGAUGGGACCCUGCUGUAUGCAUCCUCUCUGUUCCAGGGCAGUGUGCCUCCAGUCAUGGCCUUCCCCCUCGGCUCCCUGGGCUUCCUGACACCUUUCGCCUUUGAGGACUUUCAGUCUCAAGUUACCCAGGUGAUAGAGGGGAAUGCAGCUGUUGUCCUUCGGAGUCGGCUGAAGGUCAGGGUGGUGAAGGAGCCCAGGGCCAAGAAGGUGUCCAUCCACAACAGGCUCAGUGAGAACAGCACACCCACUGCAGGCCUGGAUGCGGAGGCCGGGCAGCAGGCCAUGCAGUACCAGGUCCUGAAGGAGGUGGUGAUCAACAGAGGCCCCUCCUCAUACCUGUCCAAUGUGGACGUCUACCUGGACGGACACCACAUCACCACAGUGCAGGGCGAUGGAGUGAUCCUGUCCACCCUCACGGGCAACACGGCAUACCAGCCAUGGCUAGAGCCUCCAUGAUCCACCCCAACUUGCCAGCCAUCAUGAUCACACCCAUCUGCCCCCACUAGCUGUCCUUCUAGCCCAUCGUGGUCCCCGCAGGGGUCGAGCUGAAGAUCAUGCUGUCACCAGAAGCACGGAACACAGCCGUGGGUGUCCUUUGACGGCCGGAAGAGACAGGAGAUCCGCCAUGGAGACAGCAUCAGCAUCACUACCUCUUGCUACCCGCUGCCCUCCAUCUGCGAGCGAGACCCCAUGAGCGACUGGUCUGAGAGCCUGGUGCAGGGCCUGCACUGGAAUGUGCGCAAGAAGCAGGCCCACUUCCCCGAGGAGGAGGAGGGCGAGGGUGGGUGUGUGAGCUAG